CAACGGGGAGGGGCGGAAGGCGCCACCCCGCGGAGGAGGCCCCAGUGCCACAGCCCAGGGCCCCCGAGAGCUCUGGGAGCCCGGGGCAAAUGCUAGAAAUUUGCUUAGAACGUCCGGGUCCCACGGAAGGCGCCCUUGCCGCCCUCUCUCGGGUCGUAGCUCCCUGACGCUGGGGCGCAACCCCUUCGCUCCUCCUCCCCGCUGGCCGCGGCCGGGCUUCCCCAGCUCUUGCUGCUUCGGGCCUGUGACUUCUGCAACCCCGGGCUGGGGGCCGCGGGGUCUCAGGGCCGGUGACGCCGCACUGGGAGCCGCCCCAAAGAGGUGCAAAACAAUGAAUUCCAAGCCUCGGAAGCAAAGAAGCUUAGGAUCCGACGGUGGCCGCAAGAUCUCAUCAUGGAUCUGACCCCUGCUCAGCGCGCGCCAUUUCGUCGUUGCCAAACGAAAUCAAGCCCCGCGUGCGCUCCAGGGGCGAAGGACUCUGGACUCACCCCGACCACCGGGAGAGCUGGCCCCUACCCACCUCGGGACCUCACAGCACGCCCUCAGGCCGUGUCGAAAGGAAGGACGGCAAAGGUCCCUUACUGAACCUUUUAAGAGAGCCUGCGCCUGGCAGUUGUCGAUUGCGGACCCAGGCCCGCGCGCCCUCGGACGCGCUGGCACGAGCAGCAGAACUAGAGGAAAGCGAGUGAUCCAGCCUGGGCGCUCCCACCUCCGGGAACGUCUCCGAGAAGGCGCAGCGCGUCGUGGCCAGCUCUGCAAGGUUGGUGUAACCCCUACAGAUGAGGAAACCAGAGACAGAGAAGUGAAGUAACUCAUGCAGGUGACGGCAGAGGGCAGAGUCAGGACUUGAACCUGGAGAGCCUGGCUCUAAAGCCCAAGCUGGAAUCUCGAUACUCUACACCUCGAUAAGUUUUUGGGAAAUGACUGACUAAACAGAUGAACGCGUUUGCCCCCCCGCCGCCCCAGAGCCCCCUUAAAGCCUACAUGUGGCAGUUUGGGCCCAUUUCCUUGGCUUCCCUCCCUGGAGGGGCACCCACUGCCAGUGUCCCUGCUGAAAUUUAGCAUCAUAUUCCAUGGCGAUUUUCCACCAGUGGAAAUCACAGGUGUUCUCUGGUAUCACAGCGGGGUCAGGGAUGACCUGAAAUAUUGUUCAUGCUCAUCACAACUGCAUGGCCCACCGCGGGGUCUUGUCACUCAGUGAGUUCUUGAAGAGGCACAGACAAAUGGAGUUCAACAAAUGGAAAACAACUGCCUUUAAUUAGCUCCGAGGACUACAAAGGGAACAACGUUAUAAUAGCAGCAACUCCAAGGAAGCAGCCACAGCUCUCAGCUCUCAGACCUGGGGCUGCCGCUCAUCAUCAGCUACAGCUAGGUUUGAUGGGAGUGCCCCCAUUUCAGGGGACAGCAGGCCCCCUUCACUCCCCGACUCAGUCCCCAUCUGCAGCAGCACAGCCUUCCUUGGCCUCACCAGGGAAGAAGAACAGGCCCCGCUCUCAGACAAGCCUUCCCAGAAGCCUGAGGACUCAAACACCCAAAUGUGUCUGGGUCCCUGCCCCGAGCCGGCCACCCAGGCAGCAGCCCUGAAUCACUCGGUCAGCCAGCGGCAGGGCAGGCCAAUGGGCUGGAGGGUAGGCAGGCAGGCAGACCCACCUCUGCAUCUCUGCUGACUGCCUCGGCUGAGGAAAGGCAGCACCAGCCCCCAACCCUGAAGUUCUAGAUCUCAUGCAGCCUCUCUGUUCUGGAACCAUCCAGAGGCACUGCCCUUAUACAUGGUCCACCCCCAGGCUCAGACAAUGAGAAUUCCACAAGCAGAGGGGACUCUAUUUGGGGCACAGAGAGGUUAAGUAACUCCCCUCCUAAGGUCUCUCAGCAAGGAAGCCACUGAGCCGUGGGACUUGAGCUCAGGGACUCUUGAUCCCCAGUCUCAGGUGUCACAGCCCCAUCUGGGCUCCUGCUAGGGAGGAGGAAGGCAGCAGGGGGUGUCUGAGGCCAGGGUGCAUCAGCCCUAAAUGCCAGACAGAGGCAGGAGAAGUCUCCCCAUGAGUCCCAGCCCCAUUAGAGGCUCCAGGUCGGGGAUCCCAGACCCCCUAUCCUUGCUGGGAGACACAACCCAGAACUCUGCAUCCCUGCAGCCACCAAAAAAGGCAAAAGCUGCCCAGAAACACUUUCUCCUCUUCCGUGGCCAAAUCCACGAACUUUCUCGAGGUCUGUCCCCCUGCCCCGUGCAGGUCCAGCUUCAGUGCAGCCCAGCUCUGUGCAGUUUUCCACAAAAGCCUGUGGCUUCCUUCUCCUCCCUCUGCUUCUGAUACCCCAGGAGUUACACACAAAAUGUUGGCGGUGGUCUCCAGGAAGACCCCUGCAUCCCACAGCUCUCCCCAGAAGUUGCCAGCAGUGACCUCCUGAGCCCAGGUGGGGAGUCCCAGGCAGGACAGGGGCUGGGGCUGCAGGCCCUGGGGCCCUGUUAGUGAAGCAGCAAGCCGAGGGUCCCUGAGAGUUUCCCUUGGCCCCUCUGAGGGCUGCCCUUUGAGGUCUUGAGGUCUUGGAGUAUCCAUCGCCCCCACGGCUUACUGUCCCCACCAGCGGAGGAUGAAAGUGCCACAGCGAUGUUCCACGCCAAGAGACCACAGAGACCACCAACCCCUCUUCCCACCUCAGGCUUUCAGAGGCCAGCGGAUUUAGGCGGACAGGCUGUGCGCUUGAGGGCAGCCAGGGCGGUCAGUGGAGGGACGUGGUCCGGGGCCUGGCCACAGCUCCCCACCCAGGGCCCUGGGCUAUUGUUACUCACCGCGGAUGAAGGUCGGCGAGUAGGUCGGGAAGGAGUCGAAGAUGCUGUUCGAUGCCAUGCCCCGCUCUGAAGAAGGCCAGGCUGCGAGGCCCAGGGUGGUGACGC
rnacentral:lncRNA from 1 species